UCCGUACCUUCCGAAUCAGAUGCUGUGCAGUUGUACAAGGAUCUUACUAGUAUGUGUGCUAAAGGUGGAUUUCAUUUAACAAAAUGGACGAGCAACAGCCGUGCUGUAUUGGGUGUCGUACCAGAGAAGGACCGAGAGAAAAAGGUAAAGGAUUUGGACUUCGAUCGUGACACUUUGCCAGUGGAAAGAGCAUUAGGAGUGCAAUGGUGUGCUGAAUCGGAUGCCUUUCAAUUCAAAGUGGUAGUAAAGGAUAGACCUCUUACCAGGAGAGGAAUUCUCUCAGUGGUUAGUUCCAUCUAUGAUCCUCUGGGGUUCUUGUCACCUGUGAUUUUGUCUGCCAAGAGGAUACUGCAGGACCUGUGUAGGGAGGGAAUUGGAUGGGACAAUGAUAUUCCAUCAGUGUAUGUUCAGCGUUGGAUGCACUGGCUGGAUGAUCUGCAUCACUUGGAGAGUUUUGAGGUUAGAAGAUGUUUGAAGCCUGACGGGUUUGGAGAUGUAGCAUCUGCUCAAAUGCAUCAUUUUUCAGAUGCAAGUGAACAAGGAUAUGGUGUGGUAUCCUAUUUGCUGCUCCAUAAUGACCAACAACAGGCAUAUUCUACCCUUCUGGUGAGCAAGGCAAGAGUUACACCAUUAAGGUCCAUUACAAUCCCUCGCCUGGAACUUACAGCUGCCACUCUUGCAAGCCGUAUUGACAAGAUCUGGAUGAAAGAACUCAAGAUGCCUUUUCAGAAUUCCGUUUUUUGGACUGAUAGUACUUCAGUACUUAAAUACCUUCGAAAUAGCACCUCAAGAUUUAAGUGCUUUGUGUCUAAUAGAGUGUCCGAAAUCUUGAAGGUUUCUGAUGUAGAACAGUGGAGGUACGUGAAUUCGUCAAGCAAUCCAGCAGAUCUGGCGUCUAGAGGAGUGAAGGUGGAUUCAUUUUUAAAGAAUGAGUCGUGGAUUUCUGGUCCCGCCUUUCUGGUUCGAUCACAAGAGGAGUGGCCUAUGGACCCCACCUAUAGGGAU
ensembl:lncRNA